rnacentral:rRNA from 1 species
AAUAAAAAUAUCUUUGGUUGGGGCAACCACGAAGAAAAAAAAACCUUCGUUUUAAAAAAAAAUUUACAAAUUUAAAAUUAUUAAAAAAAAAGAUCCAGAAAAUCUGAUCAAAGGAAAAAGUUACCGCAGGGAUAACAGCGUUAUUCUCUUUAAGAGCUCUUAUUGACAAGAGAGUUUGCGACCUCGAUGUUGGACCGGGGCACCCAAGAGAUGUAGCAGCCUCUAAAGGUAGGUCUGUUCGACCUUUAAAGCCCUACGUGAUCUGAGUUCAGACCGACGCAAGUCAGGUCAGUUUCUAUCUA